rnacentral:rRNA from 1 species
GAUGAACGCUGGCGGCGUGCUUAACACAUGCAAGUCGAACGAAGCAUUUAAGACAGAUUACUUCGGUUUGAAGUCUUUUAUGACUGAGUGGCGGACGGGUGAGUAACGCGUGGGUAACCUGCCUUAUACAGGGGGAUAACAGUUGGAAACGACUGCUAAUACCGCAUAAGCGCACGGUAUCGCAUGAUACAGUGUGAAAAACUCCGGUGGUAUAAGAUGGACCCGCGUCUGAUUAGCUGGUUGGUGAGGUAACGGCCCACCAAGGCGACGAUCAGUAGCCGGACUGAGAGGUUGAACGGCCACAUUGGGACUGAGAUACGGCCCAGACUCCUACGGGAGGCAGCAGUGGGGAAUAUUGGGCAAUGGGCGCAAGCCUGACCCAGCAACGCCGCGUGAAGGAAGAAGGCUUUCGGGUUGUAAACUUCUUUGUCAGGGACGAGUAGAAGACGGUACCUGACGAAUAAGCCACGGCUAACUACGUG